AGCACUUAUGUUAUUCUCGUAAGCAAUGAAUUAGGUUGAGAGAGAUCUCCCCGUAAUUUAGAAACGGCAAAGGGAGCCUUGUGGUGUUGCUAUGUAAGGCUUUUAGCGGUUUUUACCAAGUUACAACAUUACGAAGAUGCAGUCCACACUUUUUUUCGCCACGGCUAUACUUGACAACUGUGGUAGCUACAGCGGUAUUUAUAUCAUUUAUAAUAAUAGUAGUUAUGAUAUUGAUGGUAGUAGUAACAAUUAUUAACAAUAAUUAUAUCUUCUAAGAUCUUGUCAAAUGUUUUACAUUUAGUUCCAUCAGCUAAAGUAUAAAUAAUUAGCUUUAUAUAAGUCCGACAAAAACGGACUAAUUGAUAACUCAAUCUCACCCAACCAAACUCCGUUUUUGGGCGGCUAUUUUAUUUUGUCGACAUGUCUUCGCAUCAUCUUCAGAUAUAAUAAGUAAUGGAUGUGUUCAUAUCAGCAACAAAUUUAAUAAUUGUAGUAGUAACACUUAUCAGUAAUAAUAUUAAGAAGCAAUUGUUAACUUUGGUGAUAAUGUUUCUGUAUAAUGUUGCGCAUCGCGCUCGUCAUUUGUUUGUGAGGUUUGUUUAUGUUGUGAGCGGGAACUUGGGAAGGGGAAGCGAAACGAUGUAGCGUAGGCUCUUGUCAGGUUGGGACUGAGGUAAAUAAACACCGUUUUUAUGUCUGCCUUUGAUUUACCCUGCCACACUGGUAGCAGAGCGUGGCAGGAAAGAGGGGAUUGACAAGUACUAGUUUAGAAGAUAGGCUAAGACAUCGUAAACAUGAAUAGUGUCGGCGAAUGUGGCAGUAGGCUGGUAUUGCCAGUUUUCGGUGCUGAUAACCGCUGGAAACAAGAGCUAAAAGCAUGGCAGCUUGUCACAAGCAUCGAGAAAAAGAAACAGGCUGUGGUUGUUUCCCUGUCAUUCCCAGAAGGAAGCGAGGUAAGGAGCAAGAUUUUCGAGGAAGUGGAUAUUGAUAAGUUGACAGUCGAAGAUGGAAUGAAAGUUUUGCUUCAACACUUGGACCAGUGGUACAAGUAGGAUGAGAUGUCAGCAGCGUAUGAGGCAUGGACAAAGUUUGACAGCUACAAAAAGGAGAAGGAACAUACAAUGGAGAAGUACAUUUUGGAAUUACAAACUGCCUCUACCUAUUUUCACCAUGCAUAAAGACCAUCUUUCAAACAAGGAAAAGUCCACAGGAUUACCUGCCUGGGACUUCAAACAGAAGGGCAGUCAUCAGGGCCCUUACAGAUGAUCUAGUAAAGAAGCAUAUUGUAGUCGGGUUUCUAUUCAGGACACUGUCAAAGCAAGGAUACACCAACUUAGUGAAUGCCCUGUUCAGUAAAUAUCCACACAUUGGAGACCCUAAAUGUUGGAGGAUGUCCCUUCGUACCAAAAUGAAAAAUAUUCGAAUGCCAUUAGAAUUGAAUAAUGUGCAAUUUCUUAAAAAAAAAAAAAUUUGGUUGCCUAGGGACAGGAGGUCGUAAGAGGGUUGCAGAAACAGUGGAUGAAGAAAGGGAGGCCUGUAAGAAAAGACAGAAACUUAAGAUUGAUUUAGAUGGACCUGGGGAUGAUGAAGUGACUACACUCAGCCACAUAGAUAUUUUAAUGGCUGAAUAUAAAGAGGAUCACCUGAUCUUGCUAUGAUUGCAAGAAAAAUGGAGAGGACAUGUGCCUUCAGAUGGAAGAAGAUCAACGAUCCAAAUUUGUCUGUGGAAGACAUCCUCUUAGAUUUUCCAGCUCUAAGGGAAAGAAAUUUUAUUUCUGCGCACGGUUUACUUUGCAGCUUCUGCCAUCACUUUAAAGAGAAUGAAGAAUAUCUUCUAGUUCAUUCACAUGAGGACAUUAAAUCUCCAGCUCCAGUCCUCACCUUUCAAGGAGGAGAAUACCAGCUUCACAUUAAUGGCAGCUCUGUCUUUUCUAGGAAAAACUCCAAGUUUACAAAUGCUUUAGAGUCAUUGUUUACUAAUUCUUAUUUUGUAUUUUCAUUGGAAUAUCCAAAACCAAUUGAAAAAACUUUGUUAUUCUUGGAAUCAUAUAUUUCAACAUAACUGCAAAUUACCUUCUUCUGUUUGUACAUGGGCAAAAAAAAUUGGCAUGGCAUAAUAAUGAGUCUAUAUGUGGUUGCUCUUCCUUAUGUUAUGAAUUUAAAAUAGAUGAUAAUAUGCAUAUUAUACUGACAUUGUUUUUUGUAAAUGAAAACUACUGAGAUGGCAAUUUGUCUGUCCGUCCGCACUUUUCCUGUCUGCCCUCAGAUCUUGAAAACUACUGAGGCUAGAGAGCUGCAAAUUGAUAUGCUGAUCAUACAGCCUCCAGUCAUCAAAUAUAUAUUAUAACUGCGAAUGUUUAAUCAAGUGACUUUUGGCAACAAUAUAAUUGUCAAGUA